rnacentral:lncRNA from 1 species
ACCAUCUCCCAAGAUAUCCAAUAAGGCUGCCGUUUCAUCUAUUCAUUUCAUCACACAAUUUUUUUCCGUUUUUCUUUAGUCUUCAUUUUUUAAAUCAAUCCUAAUCACAUAAAUAAACAAACAUGCAUCAGGGAAUACAAUCAUAUCUCAAUUUUCCUAUUUAACAGUAUUCACGUAAGGCACCAAUACAUGCAUUCAAACUAUAAAAUUGAUAAAUCAUAUAUUAUCAUGCAUUUAGACUGUAAAAUAAAUUAGU